CCUCCUUAAAAGAAGUGUGAAUCUUUCGUUUUAAGCGCCCACACAAUCUACUUAAUCAGUUCGCCGGCUGCGGGUCUGUAGCUCAGUUGGUUAGAGCGCACCCCUGUAUAAGGGUGAGGUCGGAAGUUCAACUCUUCCCAGACCCACCAGGUUACCUCUGAAUCAGAGGUUUGCCAAUAGGGGCCAUAGCUCAGCUGGGAGAGCACCUGCUUUGCAAGCAGGGGGUCGGCGGUUCGAUCCCGCCUGGCUCCACCAGGUGAUAAACGAUAGUGGUGAAGACCACUGCCGUUUAUUUCCUGACGAAGUCGGGUCAGCGGACGCUCUUUAACAAUUUAGGUAGUGAUAUACGACGGUGAAGUCAAGCCUGAUUCAGGCAAGGCUUUACUGGGUAUACCAGCAUUUAUCAGUAGAUGUAUUCGAUAUCCCUGAAAAGAUCAGUCUUUUUGGGGGUUAUAUGAUCAAGCGACCCAAGCGCCGCAUGGUGGAUGCCUAGGUGGUAAGAGGCGAUGAAGGACGUUGUAGCCUGCGAUAACCUUCGGGGA
rnacentral:misc_RNA from 1 species